rnacentral:rRNA from 1 species
UACAGAGGUCCCAAGCGGUGUUCGGAAUUACUGGGCGUAAAGCGAGUGUAGGCGGUUUUCCAAGUCAGGGGUGAAAGCCUUGAGCUCAACUCAAGAAAUGCACUUGGUACUGGGUGGCUAGAGGACCGGAGAGGAUAGUGGAAUUCCCAGUGUAGUGGUGAAAUACGUAGAGAUUGGGAAGAACACCAGUGGCGAAGGCGGCUAUCUGGACGGUUACUGACGCUAAGACUCGAAAGCGUGGGGAGCAAACAGG